UGGAUUAGUGGCGAACGGGUGAGUAACACGUGGGCAAUCUGCCCUUCACUCUGGGACAAGCCCUGGAAACGGGGUCUAAUACCGGAUAACACUUCUUCAGGCAUCUGAAGAGGUUAAAAGCUCCGGCGGUGAAGGAUGAGCCCGCGGCCUAUCAGCUUGUUGGUGGGGUAAUGGCCUACCAAGGCGACGACGGGUAGCCGGCCUGAGAGGGCGACCGGCCACACUGGGGACUGAGACACGGCCCAGACUCCCUACGGGGAGGCAGCAGUGGGGGAAAAUUGCACAAUGGGCGAAAGCCCUGAUGCACCGACCCCCCGUGAGGGAAUGACG
rnacentral:rRNA from 1 species